rnacentral:rRNA from 1 species
AUGAAGAGCUUCUCACCAAUCGGUACACUCCUAACCAUGUCUUCCAGGCCUUCCCAGAGCUCCCUCUUGGUGUUCUCAUUGUGGCCUACUUGUGGGGCAUAUGCGCUGAUAACAUUGAGAACCAAGUCCUCAACUACCAGCUUGACCAGGAUAAUCCGGUCCCCCACGUCUCUUGACGUCUACCACUCCAUACUUGAGGCUCUUGUUGAUCAAGAUGCCCACACCAUUUCUGUUUGCAGCCGUCCCCGUGUACCACAGCUUGAAGCCGGUAUCCUCCACCUCCUUCGCCUUCUGUCCUCUCCGUUUGGUUUCUUGGACGCAAAGGAUAUCAACACCUCUCCUCACCGCUGCAUCAACUAG